AUUUACAUCUAAAUCGCCAGGGAACUACGAGCUAAGCUUAAAACCCAAAGGACUUGACGGUACCCCACAUCCUACUAGAGGAGCCUGUUCUGUAAUCGAUAAUCCGCGUUUAACCUCACCAUCUUUAGUUAAUCAGCCUGUAUACCUCCGUCGUCAGCUUACCACGUGAGCGCAAAUUAGUGGGCCCAAUGUUAUUACACCAAUACGUCAGGUCAAGGUGCAGCAAAUGAGAUGGGAAGAGAUGGGCUACACUUUCUAUUUUAGAAAAAACGGAAAACUACCUAUGAAACCUAGUUGGAAGGCGGAUUUAGCAGUAAAAAGGAAUCAACACGUCCAUUUUAACUUGGCACUGGGGUGUGUACACACCGCCCGUCACCCU
rnacentral:rRNA from 1 species